rnacentral:rRNA from 1 species
UACGUAGGGACCAAGCGUUGUCCGGAAUCAUUGGGCGUAAAGAGCGUGUAGGCGGCUUGUUAAGUCUUGCGUGAAAUCUCGGGGCUCAACCCCGAGCGGUCGUGAGAAACUGGCAGGCUAGAGUGCGGGAGAGGAGAGUGGAAUUCCUGGUGUAGCGGUGAAAUGCGCAGAUAUCAGGAAGAACACCCGUGGCGAAGGCGGCUCUCUGGAACGCAACUGACGCUGAGACGCGAAAGCGCGGGGAGCAAACAGG